UACGAAGGGGGCUAGCGUUGUUCGGAAUUACUGGGCGUAAAGCGCACGUAGGCGGAUUUGUAAGUCAGGGGUGAAAUCCCGGGGCUCAACCUCGGAACUGCCUUUGAUACUGCAAGUCUCGAGUCCGAUAGAGGUGAGUGGAAUUCCUAGUGUAGAGGUGAAAUUCGUAGAUAUUAGGAAGAACACCAGUGGCGAAGGCGGCUCACUGGAUCGGUACUGACGCUGAGGUGCGAAAGCGUGGGGAG
rnacentral:rRNA from 1 species